rnacentral:rRNA from 1 species
UUGACCUCGGAUCAGGUAGGAAUACCCGCUGAACUUAAGCAUAUCAAUAAGCGGAGGAAAAGAAACCAACAGGGAUUGCCCUAGUAACGGCGAGUGAAGCGGCAACAGCUCAAAUUUGAAAUCUGGCUCUCGGGCCCGAGUUGUAAUUUGUAGAGGAUGCUUUUGAUGCGGUGCCUUCCGAGUUCCCUGGAACGGGACGCCAUAGAGGGUGAGAGCCCCGUCUGGUUGGAUGCCAAAUCUCUGUAAAGCUCCUUCAACGAGUCGAGUAGUUUGGGAAUGCUGCUCUAAAUGGGAGGUAUAUGUCUUCUAAAGCUAAAUACCGGCCAGAGACCGAUAGCGCACAAGUAGAGUGAUCGAAAGAUGAAAAGCACUUUGAAAAGAGAGUUAAAAAGUACGUGAAAUUGUUGAAAGGGAAGCGUUUAUGACCAGACUUGGGCUUGGUUAAUCAUCUGGGGUUCUCCCCAGUGCACUUUUCCAGUCCAGGCCAGCAUCAGUUUUCCCCGGGGGAUAAAGGCGUCGGGAAUGUGGCUCUCUUCGGGGAGUGUUAUAGCCCGUCGUGUAAUACCCUGGGGGGGACUGAGGUUCGCGCA